UUCGAAAUUAUAAGGUUAAAAUACACCAAAUAGAAAACUCAUCAGCCUUUUGGGGAUUUAUUCAUCACACGAUCUAGGGCUGCUGGGUGGUGAGCGACGGCUGCUGGGCGAACGGCGGCUCGGCGGUAGCUGGGUGAACUGCGACGGUGACGAUGGUGAACGCCUCCAGCAAGCGUGGGUUCUCGGCUCCAUCACUCUCGGCGGCGGCGUGCUUCUCAGCGUGGAUCUCUGCUGGUUGCUGGUUCACGAUUCCAGCAGGGAAAGACAGAUUCUGAGGCUAAAGCUGCAGCAGGGGUAUAGACAAUGCUCGUGUUGUAACCAAUCUGGUGACUGCUCGAUAAAGGUGGGCUACUCUUUUAUUAUGUAGCAAUCGGCAGGGAAGGUGGUUGAGCUGGGCUCGGGGCUGGCUGGAGGUCGAAGGCGCAGGGAGGGGUUUAGGUUGGGCUGGGCUGGGCUUGGCUUGGGUCGACGGUGCAGGGAGGGGCUCGGCAGGGAUGGUGGCUGGGCUGGGCUCGGGGCUGGCUGGUGGGGUUCUCAACUUCACGGCGGCAACACUAUAGCUCACGGCGGCAGCAAUGUAAUGUAGGAAACUAGAUACGGAGGCGGAAGGAUUCUUGGAAGCUUGGCAUGUGUGUUGAGGAUGAACGGAUUGAGUGGAUUGCGUGUCGAUCGAGGAUGACGUUUAUUUUAGUCUUUUAAAUUAUGUUCUUGAUGUAAUUCUGCAACUAGUAUUUAAAGUUUAUGUUUUAUGUUUUAUCAAACAAUGUUUUAUCUUCUAAACAAUGGGUACCCAUACCACAUUUUACAUUUAUUUUGGAGUUUUAAUAAAGAUAUGAUUAUUUCUUGUGAAUGUU